rnacentral:tRNA from 1 species
UGGGGUGUAGCCAAGUGGUAAGGCAGCGGUUUUUGGUACCGUGUAUCGCAGGUUCGAAUCCUGCCACCCCAGCCA